ACAGCUCCUUGCAUCAGGAUCCACACCAGCAGUGAGGAAAUGGGAGCAGAAAGCCCUUUCUGCACUUCUGCUGAGAAAGGAAAAUGCCUUAAAUCCUGGAAAAGACCUAACUGCAAUACUGUUUUGAGGAUUUCACUUUGCCCUUCUGCAUGAGGCUGCACAAACAGAAGGAGAAAGGUUUCUCUGGUCUUCCAAGAAAGCCCUAGCUUCCCCUCUCUUCCUCUGGGAAUGGAGCUGACCUCCUUCUGCCCUUGUCCCUGUGAACAGCG